rnacentral:rRNA from 1 species
AACGAACGCUGGCGGCAUGCCUAACACAUGCAAGUCGAACGAGACCUUCGGGCCUAGUGGCGCACGGGUGCGUAACGCGUGGGAACCUGCCCUUAGGUUCGGAAUAACUCCCCGAGAGGGGUGCUAAUACCGGAUAAUGUCUUCGGACCAAAGAUCUAUCGCCUUUGGAUGGGCCCGCGUUGGAUUAGCUAGUUGGUAGGGUAAAAGCCUACCAAGGCGACGAUCCAUAGCUGGUCUGAGAGGAUGAUCAGCCACACUGGGACUGAGACACGGCCCAGACUCCUACGGGAGGCAGCAGAGGGGAAUAUUGGACAAUGGAGGAAGGCCUGAUCCAGCAAUGCCGGGUGAGUGAUGAAGGCCGUAGGGUUGUAAAGCUCUUUUACCCGGGAUGAUAAUGACAGUACCGGGAGAAGAAGCGCCGGCUAACUCCGUG